rnacentral:rRNA from 1 species
CCCUUAGAUGUCCUGGGCCGCACGCGCGCUACACUGAUCCACGCAACGAGUCCACACCUGCGCCGAUAGGCCUGGGUAAUCUUUGAACUUGGAUCGUGAUGGGGAUAGACGAUUGCAAUUUUUCGUCUCCAACGAGGAAUUCCUUGUAAUCGCAGUUCAUCAGACUGCGGUGAAUACGUCCCUGCCCUUUGUACACACCGCCCGUCGCUACUACCGAUUGGAUGGCCUGGUGAGGUGUUCGGAUUGCCGCCGUUGCUGUUGGGCAACUAACAGCUGGCGGCGAGAAGUUCAUCAAAUCUGGUCAUCUAGAGGAAGUAAAAGUCGUAACA